rnacentral:rRNA from 1 species
GUGGGGAAUUUUGAACAAUGGGCGAAAGCCGGAUCCAGCAAUCCCGCGUGCAGGAUGAAGGCCUUCGGGUUGUAAACUGUUUUUGUACGGAACGAAAAGCCUGGGGCUAAUAUCCCCGGGUCAUGACGGUACCGUAAGAAUAAGCACCGGCUAACUACGUGCCAGCAGCCGCGGUAAUACGUAGGGUGCAAGCGUUAAUCGGAAUUACUGGGCGUAAAGCGUGCGCAGGCGGUUUUGUAAGACAGUGGUGAAAUCCCCGGGCUCAACCUGGGAACUGCCAUUGUGACUGCAAGGCUAGAGUGCGGCAGAGGGGGAUGGAAUUCCGCGUGUAGCAGUGAAAUGCGUAGAUAUGCGGAGGAACACCGAUGGCGAAGGCAAUCCCCUGGGCCUGCACUGACGCUCAUGCACGAAAGCGUGGGGAGCAAACAGG